rnacentral:rRNA from 1 species
AGCAGUCGCCACGGUAAUACGUAGGGUGCAAGCGUUAAUCGGAAUUACUGGGCGUAAAGCGUGCGCAGGCGGUUCGCUAAGACAGAUGUGAAAUCCCCGGGCUUAACCUGGGAACUGCAUUCGUGACUGGCGGGCUAGAGUAUGGCAGAGGGGGGUAGAAUCCCACGUGUAGCAGUGAAAUGCGUAGAGAUGUGGAGGAAUACCGAUGGCGAAGGCAGCCCCCUGGGCCAAUACUGACGCUCAUGCACGAAAGCGUGGGGAGCAAACAGGAUUAGAUACCCCUGUAGUCCCUGUCUCUUAUAC